CAAAUAUUUAAAAUAUUUGUCUGGAAAGCAAUCCUUUGCUUCAAAUAAAUGUUAUGCUUUAGAUGGUAAGCUGACAGGCAGGGUUGUCGACUUGUAUCGUCUGUUCUUAUUGUGCUUGUCUUUUUCCCCCAAUUGUACAGCGCUACAGAAUACGUUGGCACUUUAUGCCGCUAAUAAAUAAUGGUUUACGCAACAGGUGUUGGCAGUGAAGGGGUUAAAGGGCAC